AAACGAGCUAUGACCCUACGAUUUCCGAAUGGGGAAACCCACUUACCUUUGGUAAGUAUCAAUAAGUGAAUACAUAGCUUAUUGAGGCGAACCCGGUGAACUGAAACAUCUAAGUAACCGGAGGAAAAGAAAUCAACCGAGAUUCCCCUAGUAGCGGCGAGCGAACGGGGACCAGCCGAUGAUUAAUGUAUUAGUAGAACAAGCUGGGAAGCUUGGCCAUAGUGGGUGAUAGCCCCGUAUACGAAGAUGCAUUAGUCACAUAUUAAGUAGGGCGGGACACGUGUUAUCCUGUCUGAAGAUC
rnacentral:rRNA from 1 species